rnacentral:rRNA from 1 species
GACGAACGCUGGCGGCGUGCUUAACACAUGCAAGUCGAGCGGUAAGGCCCUUUCGGGGGUACACGAGCGGCGAACGGGUGAGUAACACGUGGGUGACCUGCCCUUGGCUCUGGGAUAAGCCUGGGAAACUGGGUCUAAUACCGGAUAUGACUCCAUGACGCAUGUUGUGGGGUGGAAAGCCUUGUGCGGCUAGGGAUGGGCCCGCGGCCUAUCAGCUUGUUGGUGGGGUGAUGGCCUACCAAGGCGACGACGGGUAGCCGGCCUGAGAGGGCGACCGGCCACACUGGGACUGAGACACGGCCCAGACUCCUACGGGAGGCAGCAGUGGGGAAUCUUGCGCAAUGGGCGAAAGCCUGACGCAGCGACGCCGCGUGAGGGAUGACGGCCU